ensembl:lncRNA
GAAGCUGAUCCUUCACCACAACCACGGCAACGGUAGAGGCUGAUCUCUCACCACGACAGACUUGAGGGGUUCUCUCUGCCAACUGAUCUCUCACCGCAACGUGUAGACGGAUCUCUACGUGGAGACUGAUCUCUCACCACGACACGAGCUUCCUGCCUUCCGAUCCUCCUCUACGGACCGUUUGCUGACGGACUUCCCUGGGCCUGCUACCUGAGACCUGCUGCUUCCUCCCUGGCCUGCAUCCUCUCGCUGCCCCAGACCGGCCUCGCUGCUCCUGCCCUUCGGCCUCGGACCGUCGGAACGUCGUGCAACGGGACUGCUGCCGGAUCCUGGUGGCCUGUCUUCUGCAAGAACACAAACUCUAUCAGGACAUGGUCACUACAGCCCAGAGUACCUCCAGUCUUAAUCUGCAUAAUGAGUUCCUCUGCAGUGGCUGCAUGGGACUCCCCAGCAUUUAUCCACUUGAUCCAAGGUGAAGGUGCUAGGGAGGAGGUCAGCCCCUUUGGAGAGGCUCUGGGGGAGCAGUUUGGUGUGAAAAACAAACAAUUUGCAUGGCAAGAGAUGGUGGCAGUGUUGGAAUACUGCAAAAUUUGUACCAGGUGUGUUGAGCAAAUGCUUACACUAGAACUGAAAGAACACUGUAUGUGUGUUUAUCAAGACCUAUUGAAUCAAUAUGACACUGAAAGUGACAGUUACCUGGAUCGCAUCUAUCUGAGGCAGAUAAGGAAUGACUCAAAUCAACACGGGACAAUCAACAUCACUUUGUGGACAAUUUUACAUUUGAAAGCAUAUCCUUAAGAAUUUUUUGCCUUCGAAUGGGAGGGCCCAGGAUUGUUCAUUGGCUGAAGGCUUGGUCCUGCAACAAAUGGUUCCAGCUUGAUACAGGAGACUUGGAGAUGAUACCACUGUAUCCUGUGAAGACAAGAUACGAGCUGGGGUCUUGCUGCUUCCCCAUAUCUGCUGAUAUAAAUUUCCAAGGCCUGGAGGACAGGAGCAAAGGAGUUCCUGCUGAGAUCCUUGAAGUCAGAAUCUAUCACUCCAAAAGAGCUGGCUUGACCAUUUUGGAUUAUAAGUAAGAGUUUGUACUGUUGUCUUUAGUCGUCAACUGACCAACACAACCUUGUAUGACCCACCACUACUGGAGAUCAGCACCUGACACCAAGAUGCUGCUGGAUCAAGGAGUGGUGAACCGCUUUGCUUUGCUGUGUUUGUAUAUCUGUCUGUCUGUCUCUAUUUCCCCAGUUUUUAUUUUUUUAUCUUCUUUUAUUCUUUUACUCUCUGUAGUAGCCGUUGCCUAAUAUUGUCUUACCUGUAACACUUAUUAAUCAUAACUAGCAAAUUAGCCAAUUUUACCUACAAGUAGAGUAUUAGUUGCUUUUAAGAAAACUCUCAGCAUAUUGAUUUGUACUAUUCCUCUGAGUCUUGGAUAACUCCAUCACAGUAGCAAAGGCUUCCACAUGGAGAGGUGACGUGAAUUCCUCACGGAAGACAAAGUUCAAGAUGCAGCCCUCAGUGGGUAAAAUGAUGUAUGCUGAUGUGCACUGUCUGCUGGGAUAGAAAUAGGGUGAUCCUUAUAGAUUUCCUGGAACCUGGACAAACUAUCAACUCUGACUGCUAUAUUGUCAUGCUGAUUAGCUAAAGGCUUCCAGAGUCAGGCCAGAGAAGAAGAUAAUCUUCCUCUUUUAAACACAAUAGCACCAAACCCCAUACUGGUUUGAAGACUGUGGAAUAUGCUACCAGUGUUGGCUGGACUGUUCUACCAUAUCCACUACGCUGUUCAGAUUUGGAGCCUUCUUCUAGAUAUUUUGGCCAAUAGAAGACAGAUUGUAACAUUAUCCUCGCAAUGACCUUCAUAAAAGCUGUGAAACAGUGGGUCACCUCCACUGGUUCAGAUUUUUAUGAGCACAGCAUGCAGGCUCCUGGUUCUCGCUAGCAAAAAUGCAUAGCUAAUGUUGGUAUCUAUGUUGAAAAAUAGUGUUUUGCAGCUGAGAAUUUUCUCCAUUACAUAAUGUUAUUGAGCUUUUGUAGCUGUUGUCGUUUCCAUGGAAAUAAAUAGGAGGCAUUACUUUUGGAGUAGUCUAUGUAUAUUCUUGAUCCUUGGACAUUCAUUUCUUUUACAACGCUUCCAGAAGAAACCUGUUAUUUUCCAGUAGCAGGAUAGUGGUUACAGUGCUCGUUCAGGAAGGUGCAAAAUAGCAACUGUGACAUUUGGGAAACUUGGAAGGUUUGUGCUUAUCUUAUGAAAUUCCAUUCAUUGGUAAGCAGGAACUGAAUGAUUUUUCAGCAAUAGCAUUUUGGAUUUAGGAAAUACAUUCUCUCUAAGGCCUCCUUAAAGGGCCUGAGACUUUUAUUGGGCUCUAAAAAUUUCUGCUACCUUUCUAGCUAUGAAAUAAAACCAAAAAUAGGGUCUGGCAGUGUUUCGUAUACCUUUUUUCUUAAAACUGAGUUAUUCAGUUAAGGUAUGCUUCCCGUUGCAAGUCUCCAUAAUAUGUUAAAUGAUAGUGCCAUAGGACCACUAAAACCAUUGUGGAUUCUAGUAAAAAUGGUUAAUACUAAUACUAUUUGACUACAGCCACAAAGAGAGUAUUUUCCAGUUUCCUCUUUAGCUAAAAAAAGUCUGCUCUUAUUUAUGGAUUUAUCCAUUCAGUUGGGUACAUUUGUUUCCUGUAGCAAUAUUAUUAGAGAAUGAAAGAAUAUUGCUUGCUGUUGUGAUAAUUCUGCAUUUUCUUUGAUGCUUGAUAAGAAUUUUUUUCCUUAUUAACCUCUGGGGCAGGAAGACAGAUUCAUGCUGUCAGUAAAACAGUGACAAGAUUUGGCUCAGAAUUUCCUUUUUUCUACUCUCUUUCAAAAACUAAAAUUAAAAGCAAAAUAAGAAAAAUCUUUAAUCCAUCAAUAUAGAUUUCACAAAACAUAGAAUGCAUGCCAUAUUGGUUGUAGGCAGAGAAGAAAGAUAACAUUUCAGUUGUUUUUUUUUUUUUUUUUAAUACAACUUACUACUAUGAUGUAACUUCAGUUUUCAAUCUUGAAUGGGUCAGUAAGGAACUCCCAAGUGAUGGAAUAACAGUGAUAUGUGAAGAAUAAAGAAAUGUUUUAGUGUAAGAAAAAAUGUGUUAUGUGGCAGGAUUGAAGCCAUCAAUUUGAAAUUUAUAUACACAGUGUCCAAUCCAAACUGUCUCUCUAAACUGUAUCUGUAACAUCCCUUCCUUCAGCAAGGAAGACAUGUCAUUACAACCAAUGUGACCACCAUCACGGCUAUUGAAGGUAAAUGUAUCUGUCCAGCAGCAUGUCAAUAAAAAGCCAGAUGGAGAAAU